rnacentral:rRNA from 1 species
UGGGGAAUAUUGCGCAAUGGGCGAAAGCCUGACGCAGCGACGCCGCGUGAGGGAUGAAGGUUUUCGGAUCGUAAACCUCUGUCAGAAGGGAAGAAACCGCACUGUGCUAAUCAGCAGUGCCUUGACGGUACCUUCAAAGGAAGCACCGGCUAACUCCGUGCCAGCAGCCGCGGUAAUACGGAGGGUGCAAGCGUUAAUCGGAAUUACUGGGCGUAAAGCGCACGUAGGCUGCUUUGUAAGUCAGGGGUGAAAUCCCACGGCUCAACCGUGGAACUGCCUUUGAUACUGCUUAGCAUGAAUCCGGGAGAGGGUGGCGGAAUUCCAGGUGUAGGAGUGAAAUCCGUAGAUAUCUGGAGGAACAUCAGUGGCGAAGGCGGCCACCUGGACCGGUAUUGACGCUGAGGUGCGAAAGCGUGGGGAGCAAACAGG